rnacentral:rRNA from 1 species
GAUGAACGCUGGCGGCGUGCUUAACACAUGCAAGUCGAACGAUGAAGCCCAGCUUGCUGGGUGGAUUAGUGGCGAACGGGUGAGUAACACGUGAGUAACCUGCCCUUGACUCUGGGAUAAGCCUGGGAAACUGGGUCUAAUACUGGAUAUGACUUCUCAUCGCAUGGUGGGGGGUGGAAAGAUUUAUUGGUCUUGGAUGGACUCGCGGCCUAUCAGCUUGUUGGUGAGGUAAUGGCUCACCAAGGCGACGACGGGUAGCCGGCCUGAGAGGGUGACCGGCCACACUGGGACUGAGACACGGCCCAGACUCCUACGGGAGGCAGCAGUGGGGAAUAUUGCACAAUGGGCGCAAGCCUGAUGCAGCGACGCCGCGUGAGGGAUGACGGCCUUCGGGUUGUAAACCUCUUUCAGUAGGGAAGGAGCGAGAGUGACGGUACCUGCAGAAGAAGCGCCGGCUAACUGCGUG